rnacentral:misc_RNA from 1 species
GAUGAAGAACGCAGCGAAAUGCGAUAAGUAAUGUGAAUUGCAGAAUUCAGUGAAUCAUCGAAUCUUUGAACGCACAUUGCGCCGCUUGGUAUUCCGAGGGGCAUGCCUGUUCGAGCGUCAUUAUAACCCCUCAAGCUCAGCUUGGUGUUGGGGCCUGCUGCACUGGCAGCCCUUAAAAUCAGUGGCGGCGCCAUCUGGCUCUAAGCGUAGUAAUUCUUCUCGCUAUGGAGUCCUGGUGGAUGCUUGCCAUCAACCCCCAAUUUUUCUAUGGUUGACCUCGGAUCAGGUAGGGAUACCCGCUGAACUUAAGCAUAUCAAUAAGCGGAGGA